rnacentral:rRNA from 2 species
CACACCCGUUCCCAUACCGAACACGGAAGUUAAGCUCUCUAGCGCCGAUGGUAGUUGGGACCUUGUCCCUGUGAGAGUAGGACGUUGCC